rnacentral:rRNA from 1 species
GUCGCUCCUACCGAUUGGAUGGUCCGGUGAGGUGUUCGGACUGCCUCCUUGCCUGGGUCACCGGGCUUGGAGGCGGAAAGAUUCCCUAAUCUUAUCAUCUAGAGGAAGGAG